CCUAUCUGCCGUGGGCGCUGGAGAACUGAGGGGGGCUGCUCCUAGUACGAGAGGACCGGAGUGGACGCAUCACUGGUGUUCGGGUUGUCAUGCCAAUGGCACUGCCCGGUAGCUAAAUGCGGAAGAGAUAAGUGCUGAAAGCAUCUAAGCACGAAACUUGCCCCGAGAUGAGUUCUCCCUGAGACUUUAGGUCUCCUGAAGGAACGUUGAAGACGACGACGUUGAUAGGCCGGGUGUGUAAGCGCAGCGAUGCGUUGAGCUAACCGGUACUAAUGAACCGUGAGGCUUAACCUUACAACGCCGAAG
rnacentral:rRNA from 1 species